AAUAAGCUGACAUGCAUCCAAUUAAUAAUGCUUUAUUUAUUAGUGCUGAUUGCAAUCAAAAUAAUGAUAUUUAAAAUAUUACUAAUUGUUUAUAUCUUGUUGAGUGGGGAGACAAUUGAUCCUCCAAAGAAUUUCAUCCUACACUAAAUGAAGAAAAAUAAGCUGAUAAUCUGCCAUCCGAGGCUGUUUACAAAGAAUUUUAAUGAUGAUGAUGCUCUAUUAGAGAUAAAGCUAUGUUUAAUCAAGGAUAAGAUUAAGGUUUCGUGUGAGAUCAGCAAACUUUUUCUGCAAUGGAGCACACAGUAAAUAUUUUAGACUUCGUGAACAAUAUAAUCUCUGUCACAGCUGCUCAACCUGACUGGUACAGUGAAAUAGCAGCUUUAGACAAUACAUACAUGGAUGUGUGUGUGUGUGAUUGAGUUCCAAUAAAAUUCCACUUACAGAAAC
rnacentral:lncRNA from 1 species